rnacentral:lncRNA from 1 species
GAGUUUUUCUGGACAAAAUCAUUCUCUGAAUCCCGCUAUGGGCAGUUGAUUCCUCCAAUUAGUAACUGUAGUAAGUACUGAACACCGGAGUUGAACUUUCCCACUCUACCCCACUUCCUACCACAGCGCUGUUUCACGGCAAUCGCUGGUCCCUCUGUGCUCUACCCCUUCAUGUUUAAAGCCUUUGAACACGGCUCUCUCAUAGGUUGAACAUUCUUCUCCUCACCAUUCUCUUUUCCUGCCCCUCCCUGCUCCUGUCAGUUCCCUUGAUUACCACAGAUGAUUAUAUGAUUUCUAAAAUACCAAAGAAAAAGGAAUGAUAACCAACAAACCCCGCAUGUGCCCACUACCUUGUUCCAAGAACUCUUAGAAUUUGUCUAAGCAUGUCUUGGCCACUCCCUUAUGGAGUGUCAUGUUAAAAUAACUAGUGUUUUGUCCGUCCGACCUCACUCAUGCAAUCCCUGAGUCACUUACACAACUUGUCCACAGGCGACACUACUUCUAGGCUGCUCCUCAUUCUACAACACAGCAGCUUGCAUCUACAGAGCCUUACUCUCAUACACUGUUAGGAGCAGACAUGUGGCUAGACCUGCUUGCUUGUCUGGCACCUAAUGGCACCACUGAAUCCAUCCCCUCAUCUGGACCUCUAAAUUGUACAGUUGAAAAAGUUGAACUUAUAUAAACUUCACAGCAACAAACCAAAGGGGCCGGAAGCUUAGUACAUCAUUUGAAUGCUUGCUCUGUAGUCACGAGGAUCCUAGCACCCGUGUACCAAGCCAGGCACCGUGUGCACACCUGUAAUCACAGCUCUACGGGAUCAGAGAGGAGAUGACUGAGGCUUGGCCAUUUCUAGUCUAGCUGAGAAGGAAAGAGCCCCAGGUUCUGGGAGAAACCCUGAUUCAAAAGGAGUGCACAGGACAGAGUGAUGGAGACUAUCCAACCUCCUCUUCUGGCCGCCAUGAGUACACGUGUGAUCUACUUGCACAUCCACAGAGCUGGCACAGGAGAGUCCAUUUGCACUGACUAUACCCUGUCCAGAGUGGUGUCUGCGGUCGUUUGAAUGAGAAAGGCUCCUACAGACUUACAUAUUUGAAUGUUUGGUCCCAGCUAAAGAAAGUUGUUUAGGAAGGAUUAGGUGGUGUGGCCUUUCUGAAGAACAUGUCACUGGGGUGGGCCCGAGGUUUCAAAAGCCCGCGGCAGAUCCAGUGUCGCUCUUUCUGCCUACUGCCCGUGGAACAGGACAUAAAGCUCCCAGCCACUGCUCCACACCAUGCUAUGUCUGUCUCUCCCCCAUCCACCCACACAAGGGAGAUCCACGCAGGCAGAAUACAGCGAGACCCUGAGAAAAUAGCACCUUGCAUGGAGAUUUUCUGUCCUGGAAUCUCGACAUCAUACAAGGGUUAACUGGGCCGGCAAAUGGUCAGCCAGUAGGAGCACUUGCCCUUCAGCCUGACAAGAUGAGCUCCGCCCUAGACCCCACAGUAGGAUAACUGGGGACACCUUUUAGCUUUAAAUAAGAUGGUUCUUGAUUCUUUUUGUUUGGGUUUUCCAAGAUAGGGUUUCUCCAUAUAGCCCUGGCCAUUCUGGAACUCGGUUAUUAAUCCUUAUAGAUCAUAUUUAAAUAUAUUUGAGACAAGACUCUCAGCAUGUUGUCCUGGCUGGCUGAGACUCCCUCCCGACUCAUCUGCGUUUGUUUCCGUCUGUGGGGCGAGUAGCCUCUGCUCUUCUGCACCAUGUCACCCAGCAGAAGAGACUGUUCUGUUCUAAUGGACCUGGGACAGAGUGGCCUCUGGGGAGCAGUUCUGAGCCCUUGCUGAGGUGACAGGUGCCCACCUGAGAACACGACGGGUCUGGAGGAUGGCUUGGCGUGCGAGGCGUGCUGCUGCUGCUGCUGCUUCUCCAGCGCGGCCAGCAUGCCCCCCAGGUCCAGCUGCACUGGGACCUGGCUCUUCUUCCCACUUGUUUUAAAUUCAUUCUACAAAGCACAGAUUUACAAGUUUACUCCUAAUACUGUAUUUUUUACACCAAGAUUUACAUUUUCAAAAAAUAAAAAGAUAAAAUGAACAC